CGGUCCUACGGGAGGCCGCAGUGAGGAAUAUUGGUCCAUGGGCGCGAGCCUGAACUAGCCAAGUCGCGUGAGGGAAGACGGUCCUAUGGAUUGUAAACCUCUUUUGUCGGGGAGCAAAAGACGCCACGCGUGGCGUUCCGAGAGUACCCGAAGAAAAAGCAUCGGCUAACUCCGUGCCAGCAGCCGCGGUAAUACGGAGGAUGCGAGCGUUAUCCGGGUUUAUUGGGUUUAAAGGGUGCGCAGGCGGAAGCUCAAGUCAGCGGUAGAAUUGAGAGG
rnacentral:rRNA from 1 species